rnacentral:rRNA from 1 species
GUCAAAAGAAUUAAGGCGAACGGUGGAGACCUAGGUACUCAGAGACGAUGAAGGGCGCAGAUACCGGCGAAACGCUUCGGGGAGCUGGCAACAAGCUUUGAUCCGAAGAUCCCCGAAUAGGGCAACCUUAAAAACUUUUUCAUGAAUUCAUAGUGAAGAAAGAGGCAACCCAGUGAAUUGAAACAUCUUAGUAGCUGGUGGAAAAGAAAGCAAACGCGAUUCCCUUAGUAGCGGCGAGCGAAAGGGGAACAGCCUAAACCGUUUCUUUGAAGCGGUGUAGUGGGAAGACACGAAAAAAAAUAUUAUUGUUUGAAUAGUUUAGAAAUAAACUAGAGUAUUAGACGAAGCAGCUGAAUCCUGCACCAUAGAGGGUGAAAGUCCCGUAGUCAAAAGCUUAAAACUGUGUCAAAUCCCGAGUAGCAUGGGGCACGUGAAAUCCCGUGUGAAUCUGCGAGGACCACCUCGUAAGGCUAAAUACUCCUGAGUGACCGAUAGCGAAAUAGUACUGUGAAGGAAAGGUUAAAAGAACCCCCGUUGGGGAGUGAAAUAGAACAUGAAACCGUUCGCUGACAAGCAGUGGGAGGAUUUUUGAAUCUGACCGCGUGCCUGUUGAAGAAUGAGCCGGCGACUUAUAGGGAGUGGCAUGGUUAAGGAAUAAAAUCCGGAGCCUAAGCGAAAGCGAGUCUGAAUAGGGCGAAUUCGUCACUUCUUAUGGACCCGAACCCUGGUGAUCUAAUGAUGGUCAGGAUGAAGCUUGGGUAACACCUAGUGGAGGUCCGAACUCACCGAUGUUGAAAAAUCGGGAGAUGAGCUGUCAUUAGUUGGAGAAAUUUCAAUCGAACCAGGAGCUAGCUGGAUCUCUCCGAAAUGCGUUGAGGCGCAGCGGUAACGAUGAGCUGCCUUAAGGGUAAAGCACUGUUUCGAUACGGGCUGCGAAAGCGGUACCAAGUCGUGGCAAACUUAGAAUAUUAGGUAUAGCCUUCCGUUAACCAGUGAGACUUGGGGAGAUAAGUUCCUAUGUCAAGAGGGAAACAGCCCAGAUCACCAGCUAAGGCCCCUAAAUGGCCGCUAAGUGGAAAAGGAUGUGAGAAUGCUUAAACAACCAGGAGGUUUGCUUAGAAGCAGCCACCCUUGAAAGAGUGCGUAAUAGCUCACUGGUAAAGCGUUCUUGCGCCGACAAUGGCCGGGACUAAGCGGCCUGCCGAAGCUGUGAGAUUUUUUAUUUAAAAAAUCGGUAGGAGAGCGUUCCGCUGAGGGUGAAGCUUUUUUGGAAAAAAGGGUGGACAAAGCGGAAGUGAGAAUGUCGGCUUGAGUAACGAAAACAUUGGUGAGAAUCCAAUGCCCCGAAAACCUAAGGGUUCCUCCACAAGGUUCGUCCGUGGGGGGUGAGUCAGGACCUAAGACCAGGCCAAAUGGCGUCGUCGAUGGAAAACAGGUUAAUAUUCCUGUACGUUUGAAUAUGGGAACCGAGGGACGGAGGAGGCUAAACUAGAACUGUUUAUGGAUUGCAGUGGAAAUGUCCAAGAUGUUGAUAGAUUGAACAAAAACAAUUUAGAGUCAAGGCAUGAUCCCGUUUCUUUUUUUCGGAAAAGAGACGCUAGUGAUGUCACACUUCCAAGAAAAGCUCGAACACCUCUCUUUUGAGAUAAAACAUAUUCAUUCCCUGUACCUGAAACCGACACAGGUAGGCAGGUAGAGAAUACCUAGGGGCGCGAGAGAACUCUCUCUAAGGAACUCGGCAAACUGGCCCCGUAACUUCGGAAGAAGGGGCGCCCUCAUUUCUUGAGGGUCGCAGUGACCAGGCCCAGGCGACUGUUUACCAAAAACACAGGUCUCCGCAAAGUCGUAAGACAAUAUAUGGGGGCUGACGCCUGCCCAGUGCCGGAAGGUGAAGGAAGUUGGUUAUUCCUUUGGAAGAAGCUGACGACCGAAGCCCCGGUGAACGGCGGCCGUAACUAUAACGGUCCUAAGGUAGCGAAAUUCCUUGUCGAGUAAGUUUCGACCUGCACGAAAGGCGUAACGAUCUGGGCGCUGUCUCGGAGAGAGACUCGGUGAAAUAGACUUGUCCGUGAAGAUGCGGACUACUUAUACCAGGACAGAAAGACCCUAUGAAGCUUCACUGUAGCCUGAAAUUGGGUUCGGGCUUUUCUUGCGCAGUCUAGGUGGGAGGCGUUGAAGGUUUUCUUCCGGGAAAAUUGGAGCCAAAAUUGAGAGACCACUCUGGAAGAGCUAGAAUCCUAAUGGUGAUCCUUGAAUCAGGACACUUGACAGUUUCAGGCGGGCAGUUUGUUUGGGGCGAACGCCUCAUAAAAGGUAACUGAGGUGUGCAAAGGUUCUCUCAGUCUGGACGGAAAUCAGAUGGUGAGUGUAUAUGCAGAAGAGAGCUUGACUGCAAGACCUACAAGUCGAGCAGGGGCGAAAGCCGGCAUAAGUGAUCCGACGAUGCCGCGUGGAAGGGUCGUCGCUCAACGGAUAAAAGUUACUCUAGGGAUAACAGGCUAAUCUUGCCAGAGAGUUCAUAUCGACGGCAAGGUUUGGCACCUCGAUGUCGGCUCUUCCUAUCCUGGGGCGGUAGUACGUCCCAAGGGUUGGGCUGUUCGCCCAUUAAAAGGGAACGUGAGCUGGGUUCAGAACGUCGUGAGACAGUUCGGUCCAUAUCCGGUAUAAGCGCAAGAGUAUUGAAGGGAGCCUUCUAUAGUACGAGAGGACCUAGAAGGAUGAACCUAUGGUAUACCUGUUCUUUCUCCAGAAGGAAACGCAGGGUAGCUACGUUCAGAGCGAAUUACUGCUGAAAGCAUCUAAGUAGGAAGUCCACCCUAAGAUGAAUACUCUCCAUUAGGCCGCAGCCAGACUAGCUGAUUGAUAGGUUCCAAGUCUAAGACUAGUAAUAGUUUCAGCUGAGGAAUACUAAAGGCCGAUUGAUUUUGACCUA